rnacentral:rRNA from 1 species
UGGGGAAUAUUGGUCAAUGGGCGAAAGCCUGAACCAGCAACGCCGCGUGAAUGAUGAAGGCCUUCGGGUUGUAAAGUUCUUUUGCCGGGGAAGAUAAUGACGGUACCCGGUGAAUAAGCCACGGCUAACUACGUGCCAGCAGCCGCGGUAAUACGUAGGUGGCGAGCGUUGUCCGGAUUUACUGGGUGUAAAGGGCGUGUAGGCGGGUCUGCAAGUCAGAUGUGAAAUCCCGGGGCUUAACCCCGGGGCUGCAUUUGAAACUGUGGGUCUUGAGUGAUGGAGAGGUAAGCGGAAUUCCCGGUGUAGCGGUAAAAUGCGUAGAUAUCGGGAGGAACACCAGUGGCGAAGGCGGCUUACUGGACAUUAACUGACGCUGAGGCGCGAAAGCGUGGGGAGCAAACA